ensembl:snRNA U6 U6 spliceosomal RNA
GUGCUCACUUUGGCAGCACAUAUACUAAAAUUGGAAUGAUAGAGAGAAGAUUUGCAUGGCCCCUGCACAAGCAU